rnacentral:lncRNA from 1 species
CAGGAGGUCUAUUUAUUUGUCAAGUCAACGUUUAGUAAUAAGGGAGAACAAAGUUUACCCUGCUAUCAGAAAAUAAGAAAUCAGAAUCCAGUCAUAUGGGAUGGGAGAAGCUCGCAAGCUAUUACAACUGAACUCAGGAAGCAGAUAAUCAGCUAGGAAAGAGGUACCCUUAAAUGCCAGGCUGUAUCUGAGAGUGUAUCUCCCUUGAUCAGAGCCCAGAGUACAAGCUAAACAAUUCCUUCAUAAAUCAGCACACAUCAGCUUCUAAAAUCAGCAAUAUGUCUCCAAACAUCUUGAACUGACAUUAAGAAAUGCUGCACCAUUGAGAAAAUGGUUUCCAGUUAUUUGAACUUAAAGAAUUAACUUGUUGAAGCACAUCUUUAAUCAUUGAUAAGUUACUGAAUUCAAAGAGAAGUAAUAAUGAAUGGUAAACCAAUUAACUAGGAAUUAUAUUUCAAUUUUUUUUUGCUUUGGCAAACUUGAUGAUUAGUUGAUAUUUUUUCAAUAUUUAGGAACAAGGAACACAUAUAAAUUUCACAUUUGUGUUUUUAGCAUUUUGACCAGCAAUUCAUUUUUCAAUUUCAUGUGUGAAGCUAAACUGAUGAUCUGUUAAUCUUCGUUUGUUUGGAAUUAGCCUGAAAAGUGCUAAAUACUGCUUUUUGGAUAGAAUCUUGAGUGGACUAGAACCAGUUUGUUAGGAAAAAAUAAAUCUGAGCCUACUUUACGUUUGAAGUAACUGAACGAUUACAUGAUUGCUUGGCUAUUUUAACAGUUGAUCUUGAUUUCCACACAAUGUGCAAAUUUAUUAUUACUAUAAACAAAAGGGGAAAAAACCCUUACAUCUAUUACAAAAUGCUUUAAGAGAUAGUAUUUAGUCAUGAUAUUUAUUAACACAGUUCAUAGUAAAGCUGAAAUAUGGCAAUAAUCUGGUUAGUUUGAUUUAUGUGGAUAGACAAAUUAUCUGGUUGUCAAAUACAUUACAAAACUCAUAUUUUAAUUUCUAUUUUAUAGACAUGAUUUUAAUGAUCUGUAUAUUUUACAUUCAUGUCACGUUCGUACCCGAAAUCUCUAAUUAAUUCAUGUUUUCCAUUACACCUUGGAGUAAUCAUUGCCCAGCUAUAGGGAACAGUAUGAAAUGAAGUGUGUUAUGCAUCAUUAAAUGUUUAUGUUAAAAUAGGGCAUUAUCUAGUUAGUUAAUUUAGACCAGGUAAAACUACACAAAAACGUUUCUCUCUGUUGCUCAGCAAUUCAGCCGUUUCUCUGCACAUCCUUCCUCAAGUUCUCCUGUCCCAUUCACAUUAAUUAUUCAAGGUCCCGAAACUUUUUCUUCCAGCAACGUUUGCUCUGAUACUCAUUCAAAGGUAUAAAUAAUUGACAACAGCUUAGAAUGUGAGUUUUCUCAGUAGCAUUUGGAUUUUAUUGAGGUUCAAAUUUUUAAACUACAAAAAUGGUGAAUGCAUCAGUAAAUGGGUGAUGGAAAUAUUUGGGGAGGAUGCACUGUUUGCAGUUGUCCUUGAAAUUGGAUCAAGUAGCCACUUGCCUACUCUGUCUGCUAGGAAGGCAGAUAAGAAUUCUGCACCUUCCUCUUCUACCCCUUAAAACUCUCCUUUGUUUCACAUAACCAGAAAAUGUUUAUUUUAAUUAUCUAGAUAUUCCAUUUCUAUUUUUCCUUUUUUACUGUAAGAAAUGGCAUGGUAAAAGAUUCAAUAAAACCAUAGUAUUUUAUGCUCAAUACUCUAAAUUAAGAAUUAAAGUCCUACUAUCUAGAUGCCAUUCCAAAUGAUUAAUUUUGUUUCACAUUGUUCAUAAGAAUAAUACAUUACUUUAGGUGAUGUUUUUUCCCACCAAAUUGCUUAGUUAAAAAAAAAACAUUAGUAAUUGCUAGUUCCUAUUAUCUAAGUAGAUAAAAUAUAAUUAGAAAAACAACUGGAUAGUUUCACUCUACGUUGUUCUCAGUGCAAUGUCCAGUUUGCAAAUGCUUCAUUCAUUUGUUAAUUUUAGAGGACAGCAUUUCAGUGCAAUAAUUGAAAAUAGCUCAUAGCCUGUUCUGUGAAGAAACAAAACAUUGGUUGUGUUGGUGUCAAGUAAGUUAAUUAUGCUUUAUCACCUUCAAAUGGAGCAUAUAAUUGAUUUAUGAAAUUCUGCUAUCGUGUUGAGACCAUUAUUAGUAAUCAAGAAUUCCAAUAGUUUCUUCUUAUUCCUCAUGUACAAAAUCAUCUGGGUAUUCCAUAUGUUUAAAAACAAUUCAAUUUGGAGCACUUGUACUAUCAUAAAUUGAUGAAUUAAAAACUAGAUACAAAGUGUGGAAACUACUGUAAAAGAUUACUGACUUCUAAAAAAUAUUGCAUUUAUUGUGGCAAUACAUUCUUAUUCAGCAAUAUGACUAUGUAAUUUUUCUGUAGUACUUUGUAGAAUUUUCAUUAAUUCCACUUAAAAUCAAUGGCUUAUAUACAGUUCUUUUUUGUGACAUGAAAACUAUAACAUUUUGGCUGAUCAAUGUUCUUUUGCUUGUUUACUUUUAGGUCUUUACAAUUACCUAAGGAAUUGCCUGAGGCAUUGAACAUAUUGCCGGAUAUUUAGCUGCAAACAAACAAAAAUGUUUUCAAACAAGGAUGUAGAUGAAAAAGCUAUACAAUGAUUUUAAUACCACCUCCACUCCAUCACCUCUACACCACCAGCACUGUCACACAUACUCUCAGAAUGUUUGGUAUCAUAUACAACUCUCCUAAAGCAAGAGAUAAUGUCAAAAAUUUAAAAAGAGAAUGCUACUCCUACAUUUCCAGGUAACAUAAAGAGUUGUAACCCUUGAACUUCCUGUAUAUAUUAAUAUUUGUUUUCAACACACUAAUUGCCUUGGACCUCUAUGAAUUUUAUGUAUUUAAUAAAUUAAUGCAAGUGUUCAUCUUAAUUUUAGAUUUACAUUUGUUAUCUUUGAACUAUAUCAAUUUCUCAUAAAACAAUUAAGAAACAGCAUAAACAAAAAGGGAAAUGAAAAUAUUUCAUUUCAUUAUUUAAGUGUUUGAUAAUGCUUGGUAUCAAGUAGACAUAAUCAGAAGAGUAUUUAAUAAAGCAAUGGAUUAGGAAGGGGCUGUUAGAGAACAUAGAUGGUAUUACUCUUUAAUAAUUAGGUACAAAAAUAAGGUCUUAAUAAAUUGGAAAUUUAUGUUUUCCAUUGAAUGUUCUUAAAAUGCCAAUAGAAUUAUAGUGAAAUGAUUUUCUUUGCUGAUUCCUAUGAUAGUAUGAUACAUACCUUAUUUUAGAUAUUUACAUUUUCAUUCUGUUAGAAUGAAAUACCUGUAUGUAUUCCAUGUGCUGACAUAUAACAAAAUCUGGGAUUUAAGAAAAUGUACUUCAAAAAUGUAAAAAUUGCAGAUAAUUGAAAUUUGAGGUAUUUAUAAUACAAAUAAGGACCAUUUAAAAUAUACCAACAGGCAUUAUUAAAAAUAAGUAUAUAGUUCUGUAAAGAUUGUGUGUGUUAUAUAUUGACUAUCAAACACUGGACAUUUGUGAACUAGCUUUUUGCUAUUCCUAAGUAUUAUCUUUCCAAAAACUUGCUAUGAAGGUCAUUUAUAUUUCCUUUCUAAAUGGAUUUUGAAUAAAACAUAAGAGCUGUAUUUAACAUUCUGCAUCUGAAUUCCAAGACUCUGAUUGUAUGCCUUCUUUUACAUUACAAAUCUAUCAAAUAGAGAUGAUUUUCCUUUUGAAUUCCAUAUUACCUAGCAAUAUUUAACACCUGAAAUGCUAGAAGUGGCACCCAUUGAUCUUUGCUCUGCAUUGAAAGUUGAUCAGUACAUGGCCUCAUGAAAGAAAAAUGUUCUUUCUAGGGUUUAAUAAAUGCUUCACAAUGAGUUUUUUUUUUUAAGUAGGCCUUAAUACCUAAUCACUUGCAUUCGGUGGCUAGAUUUGAGUGGAUAAGAACACCUACCAAAGUACAACUUCCAAUUUUUAUUUCAGAAGGAAACCAUCCUUGAGAGAUGAGAAAAUAACUUACUUUAAGCUUUAUUCAUUUUUGUAUUUGGCUGCCAUAAAAUAUCUUUUACUAAGUAGCUUUAGGGUUUUUUUUUUAAUCUAAUCCUGAUUAAAUUAAAAGAAAAACCUGGUAAGUUAAUUGUAAGCUUUCCCAUAAAAGAGAGAAGCACAAAAUGCCAUGGAAUAUAUCCAAGAAACAUAACAUAAACAUGAGACUUACAAUGCACAAUUUAAAAUUUCAUAUGUUGUCAAAUGAUAAAUGUCUGUUCCAGCUAUGAAUACUUUAACUUCAAAAAUCUUUCAUAGCCUUAAAAAAGAACUCUCACAGAAACAGAAGCUGGAAUGUUAUUUGUGAACUAGGCCUUGCACCUUGUCAAUAUUUUUAGUUCUUAAAUUUCUGGAAUGUUCUAAAGACAUAAAACAUCUACUUCAUUUUGAAAUUUUGAUUUUAACAUUUCACUAACAACACUGGGAAAGGAUCAUCUUAACUAAAGGUGUCAAGACUAACGUUUGAGCUUAGCCGUUGAACUUUCUCUUAGGGGAAACAGUUUAAUCCCCAAGUACUAUGAGAUAGGCGUUUUAAGGCAACUUUUUAAAAAGGAAAAUAAAUCUGCUUUUUGCCGUCUAGGAAAGAUACAUUUUUCCUUGUGGAAAUCUGCAGUCUGAAAAGACAGAUAUGAAAAGCAUGAACUGUUGAAAAUAACCUAAAUGUUCUUUGAAAAUUUAAAGGCCAGCUUAUCCUGCAAUGGUGAUAGAAUAGUCGGCUUACAACACGCAAAGCCGAGCCGCGGGUGGGCAGGCGCCGCCCGUGGCUCGCGGAGUGGAUGCACUCGAGGGCGCGGCCGCUGCGCUUGGGGAACUUUCAGGGCGCCAAGUACGGGUAGCGCUUCUGAUGGAUUCCCGGGUCUGGGAGGAUCCGAUUAUCCCGGGGCCGGGUGACACGCACAAAGCUGAGGUUAGAGUUGGCCAGGAAGGGAGGACCUGGUGAGCCGGUGGAACAAAAGCGGGAAGGCCUUUCCUUCUAGGAGCAAAACCAGCGACGCGUCCCGGACGCCCGGGGACCCCUGUGGGUCUCGGUUUCCUUCGCUGUGACCCUGACAUGUUUCCCUCCACCGGCCCGAGGAAACCGUCGCUUCCAGCCUCCAGGUACCGUCACCUCUGCGGGGCUGCGAGCGGAGGACCGGGACAGAGAAGGAGCCGGCGGUCCUGGCCAGCCGCGCGGCUCAAAACCCGACGGCGCGGGGACUCCGGGCCUGGGGCCUCCAUGGCUGUGGCCUCCUUAUCUCCCGGGCCGGCUGCUCCCUACGCUGCGGGGCUGAGGGCACUGGGGACCCAGGGGCUUCUCUGGCACUAGCGAGGACCUAACCUUGAGUGAAGAACGAUGUCAAGUGAAAGUGAAGAAUAACGGGGGUGGGCGCGAAGAGAAUGGUCUUGGGGCGCGCUUGCGCCUCUACCCGAGGACCGAGGUGGGGAUUCGACAGACGCCAGCGGUGGGGAUCCGGGGCGAGAAGCCCCGACUUUCUGAGUCGUGAGCCGCCUCCAGUCGCCCCAGGACGUAACCCCGAGGAGCUUUCAGACACUGGCCGCGCCUAAUAUCGCUGAGAACCGCGAAAACCGGAGUUCCGGCCGCCUCCCGGACUGGCGUCCCGAGGCCAGGGGACCCGCUUGGGGCUCCCGGCCGAGCCCCGACCUCGGACGUUUUUCCGGGAGCCGCGAGAGGCCUGGGGGCCUGGGCCAGGCGCCGCGGCGGGCAUCGAUCGCCGGCUCCCAGAGAGUGGCCCCGCGCAGGUGGAGGUGACCCCGUCACCUCCAGGAGCGCCCCCAAGCCCCGGUACCCGCAGCGUGCGCCCUCUCCUCCUCCCCGAAGGUGUUAUCUUAGGAGCCAAGCAUCUCCUUUGGUCCUGCGCUCCUUCGCCUAGCGCCUGGUGCCCCCCACCCGGCUGCAUCCGAGGCUUGCGCGGCCCGGUCCCAUCAGCCGAGCGUCGCCCGCCCAGGAGGAGGCUCGGGUUCUCCGCAGAAGCGAAUACUUUCUCUUUUUGUUUUAAGUUAGAACCUUGCUUUUGCAGUGAUUCGUUGCUGUGGCGUGAUUUUAAACAGCGAUGGAGUCCUGCUAUGUUGCCCAGGCUGGUCUUGAACUUCUAGCCUCAAGUGAUCCGUCUGCCUUGGCCUCCCAAAGUGCUGGGAUUACAGUCAUGAGCUACUAUGCUGGGUCUAAAACCUCAGUAAUUAACCGGAAACCAGAUGAGAGUUUCACUAUGGGAAUUGGGUUAGGUGCAGCUAAUCACAGUGAAGAAUAGAUUAAAAUACAUGGAUUUGCAAAUCAGAAUGCAGGUUCUGCUGCUAACUUUGGGAAAUUCAGCUAAUUCUCUGUGUCUUUGUUUCUAUGCUAGUAAUGCUUUAUUUUAAAAUGUAUUUAUGGUUAUUAAGAUGUAAUUCACAUACCAUAAAAUUUAUCGAUUUAAAGUGUACAAGUCAGUGUAUUUACAGACUCAUG